ensembl:snRNA U6 U6 spliceosomal RNA
NNNCUCACUUUGGCAGCACAUACGCUAAAAUUGGAACGAUACUGAGAAGAUUAUCAUGGCCCCUGUGAGAGGAUGACACGCAAAUCCGUGAAGCAUUCCAAAAUAAC